rnacentral:rRNA from 1 species
AGUGAACGCUGGCGGUAGGCCUAACACAUGCAAGUCGAACGGCAGCACAGUAAGAGCUUGCUCUUACGGGUGGCGAGUGGCGGACGGGUGAGGAAUACAUCGGAAUCUACUUUUUCGUGGGGGAUAACGUAGGGAAACUUACGCUAAUACCGCAUACGACCUACGGGUGAAAGCAGGGGAUCUUCGGACCUUGCGCGAUUGAAUGAGCCGAUGUCGGAUUUGCUAGUUGGCGGGGUAAAGGCCCACCAAGGCGACGAUCCGUAGCUGGUCUGAGAGGAUGAUCAGCCGCACUGGAACUGAGACACGGUCCAGACUCCUACGGGAGGCAGCAGUGGGGAAUAUUGGACAAUGGGCGCAAGCCUGAUCCAGCCAUACCGCGUGGGUGAAGAAGGCCUUCGGGUUGUAAAGCCCUUUUGUUGGGAAAGAAAAGCAGCAGGUUAAUACCCCGCUGUUCUGACGGUACCCAAAGAAUAAGCACCGGCUAACUUCGUG